UUACAUACCUAGACGGGGUCAAUGGGUGAUCAAGGGCGGGCUCAUGGCCUAGGUGCGUGGCUUUCAUUGCACAUACUGAAAGUGCACUCGCCUAACAUCUCUCCUCUGUUGAGAGACUGUACGUCUUAAUUUCUGGUAGCUGGGGCCUGGGCUCUGCCGCGGCCCCUC